CCAACACCACCAGUUGGGUCUACCAUCUUUCAUUGGCCAAAAUGGGUCCAAAAACCCCAAAUUUGGGGACUUUUGGGGGGUGUUUUCCCCCCAAACACCACCAGUUGGGUCUCCCUUCUUCCCGUUGGCCAAAAUGGGUCCAAAAACCCCAAAAUUGGGCACUUUUGAGGUGUGUUUUCCCCCCAAAUCACCACCAGUUGGGUCUCCCUACUUCCCGUUGGCCAAAAUAGGUCAAAAAAACCCCAAAUUGGGCACUUUUGGGGUGUUUUCCCCCCCAAACCCCACACAUUGGAUCUCCCAACACCACCAGUUGGCUCUACCAUCUUUCAUUGCCCAAAAUGGGUCAAAAAACCCCAAAUUUGGGCACUUUUGGGGUGUUUUCCCCCCCAAACCCCAAACAUUGGAUCUCCCAACACCACCAGUUGGGUCUACCAUCUUUCAUUGGCCAAAAUGGGUCAAAAAACCCCAAAAUUGGGCACUUUCGAGGUGUGUUUUCCCCCCAAACCCCACACAUUGGAUCUCCCAACACAACUGGUUGGCUCUACCAUCUUUCAUUGGCCAAAAUGGGUCCAAAAACCCCAAAUUGGGGCACUUUUGAGGUGUGUUUUCCCCCCAAAUCACCACCAGUUGGGUCUCCCAUCUUUCAUUGGCCAAAAUGGGUCCAAAAACCCCAAAUUUGGGCACUUUUGAGGUGCGUUUUCCCCCCAAAUCACCACCAGUUGGGUCUCCCAUCUUUCAUUGGCCAAAAUGGGUCAAAAAACCCCAAAAUUGGGCACUUUUGGGGUGUUUUCCCCCCCCAAAGUCCCCCCACCCGGUUGGGGGCAGCCAUGAGAACCGCUUGGGUUGGAGCCGCCCCAUUCAACCCCAUUAUGGGGUUGGGGGGGGUCUCAAUUCUGUGCCCCCCACCCCAAUAUAUCCCCUAUAUCCUCCCCCCCCCCCUCCCCCCAACCCCAAACCUGAGGAUUUUGGGGGUAUUUUGGGGGUCAUUUUGAGGGUUUUCUGCCCCGGAAUGAACUCCGGAUUUAACUUAAAUUAAAACUUCUAUUCUCAAUUUCACAUUGACCCCAAAUUGCCUUUUCUUCACCCAUUUCUGAGUCUGAAAAGUGGUGGUUUUUGUUCACCGAACCCACUGUUUUAAUGCCUCAAACCCCCAUUUUUCACCCCAAAAUCCCCUCUAAACCCCCAUUUUUCACCCCCCAUCCCCUCAAAAACUCCCCAAACCCCCAUUUUUCACCCCAAAAUCCCCUCAAAAGCCCCAUUUUCCACCCCAAAACCACCCCAAAAUCCCCUCCAAACCCCCACAGCCCCCAUUUUCCACCCCAAAACCCCCCCAAACCGCCAUUUUCCUACCCCAGAAUCCCCAUUUUCCACCCCAAAACCACCCCAAAAUCCCCUCUAAACCCUCAAACCCCCCAAUUUCCACCCCAAACCCCCAUUUUUCACCCCAAAACCUCCCCCGAACCCCCCAUUUCCCACCCAAAAAUCCCCCAAACCCCAAUUUCUACCCCAAAACCCCCCACAACCCACCCAUUUUCCACCCCAAAACCACCCCAAAAUCCCUUCCAAACCCUCAACCCCCCCAAUUUCCACCCCAAACCCCCCUUUUCCACCCCAAAAUCCCCUCCAAACCCCCAACCCCCCCAUUUUUCUACCCCAAACCCCCAUUUUCCACCCCAAAAUCCCCCCAACCCCCCCAUUUUCCACCCCAAAACCACCCCAAAAUCCCUUCCAAACCCUCAACCCCCCCAUUUUCCACCCCAAACCCCCCCCAAACCGCCAUUUUCCUACCCCAGAAUCCCCAUUUUCCACCCCAAAACCACCCCAAAAUCCCCUCUAAACCCUCAAACCCCCCAAUUUCCACCCCAAACCCCCAUUUUUCACCCCAAAACCUCCCCCGAACCCCCCAUUUCCCACCCAAAAAUCCCCCAAACCCCAAUUUCUACCACAAAACCCCCCACAACCCACCCAUUUUCCACCCCAAAACCACCCCAAAAUCCCCUCCAAACCCCCAUAGCCCCCAAUUUCCACCCCAAACCCCCCUUUUCCACCCCAAAAUCCCCUCCAAACCCCCAACUCCCCCAUUUUUCUACCCCAAACCCCCAUUUUCCACCCCAAAAUCUCCCCAACCCCCCCAUUUUCCACCCCAAAACCACCCCAAAAUCCCUUCCAAACCCUCAACCCCCCCAUUUUCCACCCCAAAAUCCCCCCCAAACCCCCAACCCCCCCAUUUUUCACCCCAAAACCACCCCAAAAUCCCCUCCAAACCCCCACAGCCCCCAUUUUCCACCCCAAAACCCCCCCAAACCGCCAUUUUCCUACCCCAAAAUCCCCAUUUUCCACCCCAAAACCACCCCAAAAUCCCCUCUAAACCCUCAAACCCCCCAAUUUCCACCCCAAACCCCCAUUUUUCACCCCAAAACCUCCCCCGAACCCCCCAUUUCCCACCCAAAAAUCCCCCAAACCCCAAUUUCUACCCCAAAACCCCCCACAACCCACCCAUUUUCCACCCCAAAACCACCCCAAAAUCCCCUCCAAACCCCCAUACCCCCCAAUUUCCACCCCAAACCCCCAUUUCCCCCCCAAACCCCCCAAAACCCCCCCCCAAAAAGACCCCCACAGCGCUUCAGGCUCUAUUUAUUACUACAGACAGAGGAACACAGCGACCGACAACAGCCAAAAAUGCCCUUUUUUUUCCCCCCCAAAGUCCCCAUUUUUGCCCAUUUUCGCCCUUUUUCACCCCAAUUUUCGGCCCCUCCGUCCUCUUUCCCCCCCCCCCCCCCUCCACCCCAUUCUUUACCAUUUCCCCUCCAUCGCAACGGCCGUUUUUAACCCUUUUUAACCUUUUUUUUUUUACCCCUUUUCGCGCCCCAAACCCACCCAAAAUCGCCGUUUUUUCACCCAAUUUUGGGCCGAAAACCCCUCGUUUGCCAUAUAACCCCAUUGGGGCGGCGUGUGGGGGAGGGGGGGGGAAGAAAACCCCAAACCCCCCCCCACCCCAAAUCCCACUUUUUCAG
ensembl:lncRNA